CUAAGACUAGGGAAAUCUGUUGAACUCACAAAGUGUCAUUAGGUGGUUUUCAAGCAUCUGAUAUCAAACAUGGAGGUAUAAUAUCCUGCCUAUAAUCACUGGUCAGCAGAUGUUUCUUGAAUAGAAUGGGGAAGCAGAAUCUGAAACUUUCUGAGGAGAGCAUUUGAGCUUCAGAUUUCUAACAGGUAAUGAGAAAAU
rnacentral:lncRNA from 1 species